UACGUAGGUGGCAAGCGUUGUCCGGAUUUAUUGGGUUUAAAGGGUGCGUAGGCGGUUCUAUAAGUCAGUGGUGAAAUACGGCAGCUCAACUGUCGAGGUGCCAUUGAUACUGUAGAACUUGAGUACAGACGAGGUAGGCGGAAUUGACGGUGUAGCGGUGAAAUGCUUAGAUAUCGUCAAGAACACCGAUAGCGAAGGCAGCUUACUAGGCUGUAACUGACGCUGAGGCACGAAAGUGUGGGGAUCAAACAGG
rnacentral:rRNA from 1 species